rnacentral:rRNA from 1 species
UACGGAGGGGGCUAGCGUUGUUCGGAAUUACUGGGCGUAAAGCGCACGUAGGCGGCUUUGUAAGUUAGAGGUGAAAGCCCGGAGCUCAACUCCGGAACUGCCUUUAAGACUGCAUCGCUUGAACGUCGGAGAGGUAAGUGGAAUUCCGAGUGUAGAGGUGAAAUGCGUAGAGAUCGGAAGGAACAUCAGUGGCGAAGGCGACUGUCUGGACAGAUACUGACGCUGAGGCGCGAAAGCGUGGGGAGCAAACAGG